ensembl:lncRNA
AUGUACUUCACUCUAAAAAACCAUUUAAAUCUCAAUAUAUACAGGAGCUCAUUUUUCAGCAGCUGCUCAAUUUGGAACUCCCUCUCCUACUACCUCCACCUCUCUCCUACUACCUCCCUCUCUCUCUCAUACUACCUCCCUCUCUCUCCUACUACCUCUCUCUCUCUCUCCUACUACCUCCACCUCUCUCCUACUACCUCCCUCUCUCUCUCAUACUACCUCCCUCUCUCUCCUACUACCUCUCUCUCUCUCCUACUACCUCUCUCUCCUACUACCUCCCUCUCUCUCCAACUACCUCCCUCUCUCUCCUACUACCUCUCUCUCUCUUCUACUACCCCCCUCUCUCUCUCUCCUAAUACCUCCCUCUCUCUCCUACUACCUCCCUCUCUCUCCUACUACCUCCCUCGCUCUCCUACCUCCCUCUCUAUCCUACUACCUCCCUCUCUCUCCUACUUCUCCCUCUCUCUCCUACUACCUACCUCUCUCUCCUACUACCUCCCUCUCUCUCCUACUACCUCCCUCGCUCUCCUACCUCCCUCUCUCUCCUACUACCUCCCUCUCUCUCCUACUUCUCCCUCUCUCUCCUACUACCUCCCUCUCUCCUACUACCUCCCUCUCUCUUACUACCUCCCUCUCUCUUCUACUACCUCCCUCUCGCUCUCUCCUACUACCUCCCUCUCUCUCCUACUACCUCCCUCUCGCUCUCUCCUACUACCUCCCUCUCGCUCUCUCCUAAUACCUCCCUCUUGCUCUCUCCUACUACCUCCCUCUCUCUCCUACUACCUCCCUCUCUCUCCUACUACCUCCCUCUCUCUCCUACUACCUCCCUCUCUCUCCUACGACCUCACUCUCUCUCCUACGACCUCACUCUCUCUCCUACUACCUCCCUCUCUCUCUCCUACUACCUCCCUCUCUCUCCUACUACCUCCCUCUCUCUCCUACUACCUCCCUCUCUUCUCUCCUACUACCUCCCUCUCUCUCCUACUACCUCCCUCUCUCUCCUACUACCUCCCUCUCUCUCCUACUACCUCCCUCUCUCUUCUACUCCCUCUCUCUCCUACUACCUCCCUCUCUCUCUCUCCUACUACUUCCCUCUCUCCCCUAAUACCUCUCUCUCCUACUACCUCUCUCUCUCCUACUACCUCUCUCUCUCUCCUACUACCUCCCUCUCUCUCCUACUACCUCCCCAUCUGUCCUACGACCUCCCUCUCUCUCCUACUACCUCCCUCUCUCUCCUACUACCUCCCUCUCUCUCCUACUAUCUCCCUCUCUCUCCUACUACCUCCCUCUCUCUCCUACGACCUCCCUCUCUGUCCUACUACCUCCCUCUCUCUCCUACUACCUCCCUCUCUCUCCUACUACCUCCCUCUCUCUCCUACUACCUCCCUCUCUCUCUCCUACUACCUCCCUCUCUCUCCUACUACCUCCCUCUCUCUCCUACUACCUCCCUCUCUUCUCUCCUACUACCUCCCUCUCUCUCCUACUACCUCCCUCUCUCUCCUACUACCUCCCUCUCUCUCCUACUACCUCCCUCUCUCUCCUACUCCCUCUCUCUCCUACUACCUCCCUCUCUCUCUCUCCUACUACUUCCCUCUCUCCCCUAAUACCUCUCUCUCUCCUACUACCUCUCUCUCUCCUACUACCUCUCUCUCUCUCCUACUACCUCCCUCUCUCUCCUACUACCUCCCCAUCUGUCCUACGACCUCCCUCUCUCUCCUACUACCUCCCUCUCUCUCCUACUACCUCUCUCUCCUACUAUCUCCCUCUCUCUCCUACUACCUCCCUCUCUCUCCUACGACCUCUCCUCUCUCUCUCUCUCCUACUACCUCCCUCUCUCUCCUACUACUUCUCUCUCUCUCCUACUACCUCCCUCUCUCUCCUACUACCUCCCUCUCUCUCUCCUACUACCUCCCUCUCUCUCCUACUACCUCCCUCUCUCUCCUACUACCUCCCUCUCUUCUCUCCUACUACCUCCCCCUCUCUCCUACUACCUCCCUCUCUCUAAUACUACCUCCCUCUCUCUCCUACUACCUCCCUCUCUCUUCUACUCCCUCUCUCUCCUACUACCUCCCUCUCUCUCUCUCCUACUACUUCCCUCUCUCCCUUAAUACCUCUCUCUCUCCUACUACCUCUCUCUCUCCUACUACCUCUCUCUCUCUCCUACUACCUCCCUCUCUCUCAUACUACCUCCCCAUCUGUCCUACGACCCCCUCUCUCUCCUACUACCUCCCUCUCUCUCCUACUACCUCCCUCUCUCUCCUACUAUCUCCCUCUCUCUCCUACUACCUCCCUCUCUCUCCUACGACCUCUCCUCUCUCUCUCUCCUACUACCUCCCUCUCUCUCCUACUACCUCCCUCUCUCUCCUACUACCUCCCUCUCUCUCCUACCAACUCCCUCUCUCUCUCCUACUACCUCCCUCUCUCUCCUACUACCUCCCUCUCUCUCCUACUACCUCCCUCUCUUCUCUCCUACUACCUCCCUCUCUCUCCUACUACCUCCCUCUCUCUCCUACUACCUCCCUCUCUCUCCUACUACCUCCCUCUCUCUCCUACUCCCUCUCUCUCCUACUACCUCCCUCUCUCUCUCUCCUACUACUUCCCUCUCUCCCCUAA